GCGGAGGAUCAUUAACGAAUGUACUCCCGGGGGGUUGUGCUGGCGCUCUCGGGCGCAUGUGCACGCCUCCCGAGGUAUGUCUCCUCACACCUGUGCACGAAGCCCGUCGGACGCCAAGGUGGCUCGCGCCUCCUGUCCGACGCUUUCACACCAGCUUAGAACGUACGUCGAAUGCUUAUUGCGCACGCGCAACCUAAAUACAACUUUUAACAACGGAUCUCUUGGUUCUCGCAUCGAUGAAGAACGCAGCGAAACGCGAUAAGUAAUGUGAAUUGCAGAAUUCAGUGAAUCAUCGAAUCUUUGAACGCACCUUGCGCUCCUUGGUAUUCCGAGGAGCAUGCCCGUUUGAGUGUCGUGAUAUCAUCAGGCGCCUUCUUCUUCUGGAGGCUGGCGCUUGGACUUGGAUGUGCUGCCGGGCGGCGACGCUCGGCUCGUCCUAAAUGCAUUAGCGAGACCCCUGUGGCCUUUGGACUUUGGCUCUCACUCGGCGUGAUAAGAUCACCCGUCGAGACGUCGUCCUGGCCGACUAGGAAGGCUCGCUUCCAACCGUCCCUUGCGGACAACUUUGACAAUCUGACCUCAAAUCGGGUAGGACUACCCGCUGAACUUAA
rnacentral:rRNA from 1 species